rnacentral:misc_RNA from 1 species
CUAACGCAUAACUCAGCCCAGUCCACUCCCGUCCACCCCGUCCACCCCGUCCAAAAAACUUCGAUCAAAACCGGCGUCCGAGGCGCACCCAUGUAAGGGAGAUCGGAUGCAGCACCCGGCUCAGCCGAGAACGGCUGGCUUGCGCCCGAAAGGCUCAAGAAACCUGCGCCCGGUCUUCGGAUUAUCCAUAUCCACCCCCAGGGGGGUGGGGGUAUCGCACACCUGGAGAGGACAUGAGCCAC